rnacentral:lncRNA from 1 species
AUGAAGUGGUCCGCAGGAACUGUCCCUGCUCCCCGUGGGUACUUCUGCACCAGCAAACUCCAGAGGGCCCCUGAGUCCAGAGAUCUCAAGUGCAACCAGCUCUUUGUAAGGCAUGGACACUUCCUGGAGCUUCCUCCCACGUGGAACCUUCCCAGACUUACAGUUGGAGGGAGGUGUUCUGCAUUCCCUGGCCUCGGGGGAUCCCCACGAGCUCACCCCAGCACUGACCAUGGUAGGAGCACUUGGGGACUGCCCUACACCCUGUGCCCUUCAGGACCCUCUGUAUGAGGCUGGGGCUCUGUGCUGCAGGCAUUGGAGGACUGCAAUGUCUGCACAUAUUGGAGAAGUUCAGUGCCCAGUUCUGCAGUAUUGCCUUGGAAAUGCCUCCUUUUGACUUUUGUUCCUUGUUUCUUGGGGAGCCUAUCAAGAGAGUGGAUUUAACUUGGUAAGUACCUUUGGCUGUCACUGUUACUAACAUGCUCAAACUUGGAUAAUUUAAUUUCUGUCCUUUUGUAAAAACAGGUUUGUUUUUCAGACCUUUUCCCCCUUGAGAGCACAAUGAUGUAAAUGCUAGCAGAGCUCUGUGCAUUUAUGCAUGCACGUGUCCCAGAGCGUAGAAGCACAGUUUCCCGUAAACAUUUCCAAGCUGGGAACAAAAGCAGGUUUUCACAUUAAAAG